CCCACGAGGAGAAUACGAGAAGACAAAACAUCACUGUCUCUGAUGGCCCACAAAUCGCGAAGGACGAGGAACACCCUAAAUAAAGAACCAAGGGAAAAGUGACUACCAAUGCUUGUAGGAUGAAUAAAAUUCCAUAAAAGAUGGAUGCCAAGAAGUAUAUGUUGGGACAGACCUUUGGCCAGAUACCAAGCCAUCCUCUCUCAAAAUUUUCAAGUUCUUCUCUGUUUGGAGGAAAUGGUCUGCAUCAUUCCACCAUUAAUAAUGCCUUCAAUAACUGGCGUGAGGAAGCCAAAGCCCAGUGUUCUUAUGAUUUUAGAAUGAGGUCUGGCCACAAUAAGGGGCAGCAUGCAUCUGAAGUUGCUACUUUUCUCAAUAAGAAACCAUUCGUUGAUGCUGCUUCUAAGG